GGGAUUACAGGCAUGAGCCCAUUGCACCUGGCCAGAGUUUACUUUAUUAUUGGCACAAAUGUCUUUUCAUUUCUUGGUAAACAUAGUAUUGGCACAUGGAAGAUGAUUUCAAUGGUUGCCAGCUUUGGGAACGUUUCUGUGGCCUGGUUAAAACAUGACAGCAAAGUGUGGGGAAGCAGGGGAACCCUCGUCUGAAUCUUCAUAUUUAGAAACAUGCUUUUGUUGUUCUUAGGUCUGUAUACUCCUGAGAUGACGUCUUGCUUUUCUCAGCCGGUGCACUAUCUUGCUUCUCUUCUUGACCAGCUAACUGUAUAUUUUAAAUAUGCAUAUGCAAAUAUAAAUAUGCAUGUUAAAUAUUUUACAUUUCUUUCAUAUUUUUGGAUGCUUUAGCCUACAGCUCUUUGCAAAAUUUUCUAGCCCUAAGAGUCUUAUUGUGGCAACUAAAUUGCAUAGGCUAUGACAAAUAACUUAUGGCUUAUCUUACAGGAAUUUAAUUGCCUGCAAUGUCUACAUGUUUAGAGAGAUUGGCAUCAAAUAUCAACUUAGUGAAUGAUACAAUAUGCAUUCAGUUUUGCUUCUGGAAAACAUUUCUCAUAUCAGAAAAGGAGGAUGUAGGAGUAUGGGAAAUAGUGCAUUCUACCAAAAAUGUCCUUGGUGAUUUUGAGAGGCAUUUAGGAGUAAAUGUGUGCAAGAAAAAAAUAUACAGAAUAAAAGCAUAUCAAUGUAAAUGGAAAGUAAAUAGAUACCUCUCAAGGAAAGACACAAACUAUUUCCUGCUUCUCUGCAAAUCAAAACAAAGCUUGUAGGUGCUACAUUUAUUUUCUUCACAAAAGAACCAUGGUAAGGGUGCGAACAUAUUCGUGGAUAUGUAUUUGUAAGUGUUGACAAACUCUUGUUUCAUUUGUGUGAAACUCCUACACUUGCCUUUACUGAAUCAAAAUCUUUCCUUGUAUUAUGGUACUGCUUUUCCUGAGCUUUUUCACCAGUUAAAAAAUUAAGACUUUAAUUUCACUUACGGAGGGGGGUAGAAUGCAUGGGCAAAUAGAGGAAAAUCGUGUCUUUCAAAGACAAAUAGUGGGAGAAUGGUAGAGGAUCUUUAACAUAUUUAGGUGAAUUUAAUGGCCAAGCUCAGUAAUGUGAGAAAAUUAACAUUCAGCACUUCUCUGAGUUAGAAAUUCUUCUUCUCUCGUAGAAAGAAGGGAAAAUGCAUGUCAUCUAUUGAGGUCUUUUCCACCUCCUCAAACAGCUGAGAAUCACCAACUUAUAUUUUUGUAUUACAUCAGUGACUUUAUAAAUGACAAUCUGCUUCAGUAUAUUUUUCAUUGUCAGCUCUUCAGAACUACCCAUAGUCCUCCGAAGGGAAUGUGACUUGCCUGCAUUCCUUAGAGGCGUUCCUAUUUUUUCCUGUGAUGCUCCCUCCUCACCAGUGCUGGUCGUCGAUGAUUGUAUAGGGGUGGAUACCUGACCAGUGGAAGUCAUAUAACUCACCCUUUUUUGUUCUGUGAACCUGCUUAGGAGUAACUAUAGAGCAAACUCGCCUACCAAGAAGCAAAGAGUGGGAUGUAGACACACAAAUGGAGUGAAGAGACCCUGAGGCUCUAGAAUGGGCUGGGCAGGGAGCGGAGCUGCUUCAGUCCUGAUAUAUUCCCUGUUUCCUCGAACAGACCACGUAAGACCAGGACCUACGUUGUAUUCUGUCCUUGGAUUCCACAGAUACUCCUGCCCAUAAGGAUACUCUUGACUGUAUGGAAUUUGGGUAGAAUUGCAGUCUUACUAUUACUAGAACUACUAUGAAACCCUCAAAUAUUUCAUCAGUGAGUUCUGUAUUCGGUGAACAAAAACUAAUUGUAAUGUAAAUGCGAGAUUCAUUAUUUACUCAUUUAUUCACCACUUUCUGAUGUGAAUGCCUCAUGUUCUAGGCGCUUUCCUAGGGACUGUGGUUAUAGCAAUAAAGAAAAUGGACAAAUAUAUUUGUCCUCAUGAAACUUGCACUCCAAUGUGGGAGAUGAGUAAUAAGAAGUGAGGGAUGUUAAUGAUAAUUUCUAGAGAAAAAUUGAGGAAGAGAACAGGGAAAAACUAGAGGAGAUGUUUGCAUUAUUUCAUGAAAUGUCCAGAGGAGCCUUUAUUUGGCAAAACGAUGCUGAAGCUGAGGGAAUUAGCCGAGAGGAAAACUUAAUGGCAGAGAACUUAGAAAAGAAGAAACAAGGAAUAAUGAAAAGGACUUUAGGUGGAUCUUGCCUAGCAGGUUUUGUAAAACAGACAAUGGGGUGGCUGGGUGGCUAGAGUGAAGUGAGCAAUUGAACGGUAGCAGAAUUGAGAUCACAGAGGAAACGGAGCCAGAUUAUGUAGAACCCAAUUUCCAAUUCUCCUAAUUAAAAAUCCUUAUUGGCAACAAGGGACAAGAGAUUAUGCACAGACUGUUAUCACCUGCUGAGUCCUCAGAGGCUGAGGUGACACACAUGCUCCUCGCUUAUAUGCACUGGUGGAAGAAUAGAAAAAUAAAGCAAUUGAUUAAAAUCCUG